UACGAAGGGGGCUAGCGUUGUUCGGAAUUACUGGGCGUAAAGGGCGCGUAGGCGGCUCAUUUAGUCAGACGUGAAAGCCCCGGGCUCAACCUGGGAAUAGCGUUUGGUACUGGUGGGCUUGAGGACCGGAGAGGAUAGUGGAAUUCCCAGUGUAGAGGUGAAAUUCGUAGAUAUUGGGAAGAACACCAGUGGCGAAGGCGGCUAUCUGGACGGUUACUGACGCUGAGGCGCGAAAGCGUGGGGAGCAAACAGG
rnacentral:rRNA from 1 species